GACGAACCGAGCGAACGUUGUUCGGAAUCACUGGGCUUAAAGGGCGCGUAGGCGGGUGCUCAAGUCCGGGGUGAAAUCCUCCAGCUCAACUGGAGAACUGCCUCGGAUACUGGGUGUCUCGAGGGUGGUAGGGGUAUGCGGAACUAUCGGUGGGGCGGUGAAAUGCGUUGAGAUCGGAAGGAACGCCCGUGGCGAAAGCGAGCCCCUGGACGUCUACUGACGCUGAGACGCGAAAGCCAGGGGAGCGAACGGG
rnacentral:rRNA from 1 species